AUACUUUUCUCAGCCUUUCGGCUAAGAUCAAGUAGUAUCUGUUCUUUAUCAGUUUAAUAUUUGGUAUGUGCGCGUUCACCCAAUAUUAAAUUUAUUUUUUUAGGAGAAGGGCUCACCACAGUAGCUUGCUAUUGCGCCUUUAAGCGUCGCCCAUGUUUUGCAUUAUAGCACGGGCCUGGCGCACCCCUC